ensembl:lncRNA
AUUCAUAUUCUGUCCAAGACUCCAUGCUACUUCCCCUUAUUCCUAAGCACUGGUGAGAACACAGAUGAUGGAUGACAGUAAGAGCUGCUGUUUUCGAGAGCUGCCAGAUACUGUAAUCUUCUGCGAGGUGAAUCCCAGGCAUAUGUAUAACAAAAAUGUUUCUCAGACAGGAGAAUUACGGCUGGGCCCUGGAGCCAAGGAUCAUGGGAAGAGGGGCAAAUUGAGAACAGGUAAAUAUGUGUUAUGAGAGUAGCUUGCCAGAGAAGUCGACAGAAGGCUAAAUCAGCUGGCUCUCAUACGUUGGGUGAGUGGCUUUCUCUUUCUAAAUUGUGCAUCUUUUUAUGUGAAGAGUACUCACUCAUUGAAUUACUUGGAAAGUCUGC